rnacentral:lncRNA from 1 species
CUGGGAUUACUGUGGACCGAGUUCUUCUCAGGUGUGCCUGAGGCGGCUGUGUCUCCUACUCUGCGAACCAUCUGGUUGUGCUGUCUAAGGAGGCCCCUGAGAAGGCCCACCUUCACCGCUUGUGUUUUCAUUUUCUCCUCUACACCAGGAGAAGUCUGCUGAGCCAUGGUCUGGAAGAUGUCAACCACAGAGGACUCCUGGGCUGUUCUAGGGAGUUGGGCUGUUGUCCUGAGGGCAAUGGAGAGCCACUGACCCAUUUGACGGAAGAGAAUGACCAGAGCAGAUUUGCACCUGUGGAAGAUCUCCCUGGCACAGUGGGGAGCACGGGCUAGAGGGGACAAGGCCAGGGGAUAAACCAGGAGUUGGCAUGAAGGUAAUAAAUUGAGAGAUGGCACUGGGCUGGAUCAGAGUAGCAGUGGCAGGGCUGGAGAAACGUGG